UAAUAAAGCAAUUUAUUAAAUAUUAUUUAAAUAUAAAUUUUAAUUAAAACAAAACUUUUAAAAUGACUCGUGUUAACCAAACUUAAAAACCCUUCUAAAAUAAAAAGGUAAUAUUAUAAGACUGCCGGAGGCGCUAUCGGCCGCAGAUUUCUCCCCGCUGCAGCCACCGGAGGAGUUCGGCGACACCGGCAUGUAUGGCGCCGGAUCUCAAUGGGGACCACGCGCUCUCCGGUCUUCCUUUCCUCGCAGGACAUGCGCUUUUUGUUUAGUUUCGAAGAUGAGAAGAGCGAACCUUGGUAGCUGGUGCUAUGAAAAAGCAUAUAAUGUUUCAGAAACAUCCUGAUAGAUAAGAGGAAUGGUUUGUUAGGUGUGGAAACAGAAGCUGCAAUAAAGAAAAGACACUCUUCCUUUUUUGUUUUUUUGUAUUUCAAUUGUCUACCAGUUUUAGCUUCGGAGGAAGCAACGUAACGAUUCUUCUGAAGCACAUUGGAGUUGAUGAUUCUGUUAAAGAGUUGUCGCUUUUUCCAUCAGUCUCUGCUCUUUCGUAUAGACGUACUUGUGUUAGGAUGUUAUAUCUCCUAAUUUACUUAAAAAACUGUUCAUUAGUGUAUUUUAGAUAAAUCCUAAGUAGGCACAGCCAGGUGUUUGAAUUUUGCAGCAUGCAGAAUCAAUAAAUGACACGACGUUGGGUACGCGUCGCGCAUCUAUACCCUGCAUCUUGAUGGAUUCCAAGUUUCAUCCGGGCAGAAUAGAGAAUUCUUGGUUGAUGUUGAUCAUGUUCGGGGGCGAUGUUUACAGGGAGGGGCUGCCAGAUCUUGACAAUGGAGAACUUAAAACCUAUUUUGUAUCCGACAAAUGGGACACAAACAAGAGAUUAAAACUUCAUGCCUGUACCAGGACAGCUUCCGAACAACUCUUGCCCACUCCGCCCGUAAUGAAGAUGAACAUUGCAAAAUUUAAGGGCGGGUGUUACUGUAAAUUGUAUUAAGAGGAAGCAGUACAGGCUGAGGAUACCUUCUUCUCCAGGUCAUAGGCAUCUCGGUUGCGGGGUUGUCUAUGUCGAUCAAGAAGGGUGGCUGGCAUGGUGUUUCGAUGCCAUCCAUGGAGGUCAGUGCUCUCCAAGACCAUGCUUGUCCGGGCAGAUUUUUCGAGAUCUUCCCAUGAUUCGGAGAGUUGGGGGUCGAGUAGUUUGGAGCAUUUUUUGAUGACAUAAUAGAACAAGAACACUACCACUAGUCCUAUGAACUUUUAAUAGUCAGUCAUCAGGGAUGGAUUUGUAUUGAAAUACAUUUUACACAAUUUGAUUUG